rnacentral:rRNA from 1 species
ACUUGAAUAUUAAUAGAUAUGGUCUUUAAAUUCAAAGAAUUUGGCGGUAUUUUAGUCUUGUUAGAGGAACCUGUUCUGUUAAUGAUACAACACGAAAAAAUCUUACUUACUCUUGUUUAGCAGUUUGUAUACCGUCAUUAUCAGAUAACCUUUGUUGAGGUAGUUAUUGAAAUUUGAGAAGUAAAGUAUAUUAGAUCAAGGUGCAGUUUAUGGGUAAGAAGAAAUGGGUUACAAUAAAAUUUAUUUAUUACGAAUCAGUAAUAGAAUAGUUUCUGUGAAGGGGGAUUUAAUUGUAAUACAUAAUUUAGCAAGUUAGUGUGAUAUAAGAACUAAAGUAUGUACACAUACGCCCGUCCC